GAACGCUGAAACCGGAGCUUGCUUUGGUGGAUGAGUGGCGAACGGGGAGUAACACGUGGGUGAUCUGCCCUACACUUUGGGAUAAGCCUGGGAAACUGGGUCUAAUACCGAAUAUUCACACCACCUAGGGGUGGUGUGGAAAGCYUURUGCGGUGUGGGAUGAGCCUGCGGCCUAUCAGCUUGUUGGUGGGGUAAUGGCCUACCAGGCGUCGACGGGUAGCCGGCCUGAGAGGGUGUACGGCCACAUUGGGACUGAGACACGGCCCAGACUCCUACGGGAGGCGCAGUGGGGAAUAUUGCACAAUGGGCGCAAGCCUGAUGCAGCGACGCCGCGUGGGGGAUGAAGGCCUUCGGGUUGUAAAUCCUUUCGCUAGGGACGAAGCCUUAUGGUGACGGUACCUGGAGAAGAAGCACCGGCUAACUACGUGCCAGCAGCCGCGGAAUACGUAGGGUGCGAGCGUUGUCCGGAAUUACUGGGCGUAAAGAGCUCGUAGGUGGUUUGUCGCGUCGUCUGUGAAAUCCGGGGCUUAACUUCGGGCGUGCAGGCGAUACGGGCAUAACUUGAGUGCUGUAGGGGAGACUGGAAUUCCUGGUGUAGCGUGAAAUGCGCAGAUAUCAGGAGGAA
rnacentral:rRNA from 1 species